rnacentral:lncRNA from 1 species
GGCUGUACUGGGUAGACCAGAGGAACCAGGCUCUGAGGGGUGACCAGUCCUCUACUGGCUGUACUGGGUAGACCAGAGGAACCAGGCUCUGAGGGGUGACCAGUCCUCUACUGGCUGUACUGGGUAGACCAGAGGAACCAGGCUCUGAGGGGUGACCAGUCCUCUACUGGCUGUACUGGGUAGAGAGGAACCAGGCUCUGAGGGGUGUCCAGUCCUCUACUGGCUGUACUGGGUAGAGAGGAACCAGGCUCUGAGGGGUGACCAGUCCUCUACUGGCUGUACUGGGUAGAGAGGAACCAGGCUCUGAGGGGUGACCAGUCCUCUACUGGCUGUACUGGGUAGACCAGAGGAACCAGGCUCUGAGGGGUGGCCAGUCCUCUACUGGCUGUACUGGGUAGACCAGAGGAACCAGGCUCUGAGGGGUGACCAGUCCUCUACUGGCUGUACUGGGUAGAGAGGAACCAGGCUCUGAGGGGUGACCAGUCCUCUACUGGCUGUACUGGGUAGACCAGAGGAACCAGGCUCUGAGGGGUGACCAGUCCUCUACUGGCUGUACUGGGUAGACCAGAGGAACCAGGCUCUGAGGGGUGACCAGUCCUCUACUGGCUGUACUGGGUAGACCAGAGGAACCAGGCUCUGAGGGGUGACCAGUCCUCUACUGACUGUACUGGGUAGAGAGGAACCAGGCUCUGAGGGGUGACCAGUCCUCUACUGGCUGUACUGGGUAGACCAGAGGAACCAGGCUCUGAGGGGUGACCAGUCCUCUACUGGCUGUACUGGGUAGAGAGGAACCAGGCUCUGAGGGGUGACCAGUCCUCUACUGGCUGUACUGGGUAGAGAGGAACCAGGCUCUGAGGGGUGACCAGUCCUCUACUGGCUGUACUGGGUAGACCAGAGGAACCAGGCUCUGAGGGGUGACCAGUCGUCUACUGGCUGUACUGGGUAGACCAGAGGAACCAGGCUCUGAGGGGUGACCAGUCCUCUACUGGCUGUACUGGGUAGACCAGAGGAACCAGGCUCUGAGGGGUGACCAGUCCUCUACUGGCUGUACUGGGUAGACCAGAGGAACCAGGCUCUGAGGGGUGGCCAGUCCUCUAC